CGGGUGAGUAAUGUAUGGGGAUCUGCCUGAUGGCGGGGGAUAACUACUGGAAACGGUAGCUAAUACCGCAUAACGUCGCAAGACCAAAGAGGGGGACCUUCGGGCCUCUUGCCAUCGGAUGUGCCCAGAUGGGAUUAGCUAGUAGGUGAGGUAACGGCUUACCUAGGCGACGAUCCCUAGCUGGUCUGAGAGGAUGAUCAGCCACACUGGGACUGAGACACGGCCCAG
rnacentral:rRNA from 1 species